UUUUUUUUUUUUUUUUUAUGUAAAAUCCAAUCGAGUAGUUUUAGCUUGUUUCCUCAAUCAUCAUUUUUAUGUUUUCAUGUUUUUGUGGGUUUGUAUUUGGGGUAGGAGAGGAGUUCGUUGGGUUGAGAUUUUGUUUCGGUUUUUGAAGCAGCAAUGAGAGUUUUUUUACCGUAAAAGGUUACUGUAGAAAAAAAAAAACUAAAAUUGGGUGCAAUGUGAAAAAUUUAUCUGAGCGGAGUGGAAAAAGUCAAGCUACCAUGAGUAGCGUUUCUGUGUCAAGUCGCAGGACCCACACUUACAGACUCCAAAACGCUACUAUACGUAGCGAUUUUAAUUUUGCACAGCUCAAAACCACUACUGUGACUAGUGAUUUUGUCCAAG
rnacentral:misc_RNA from 1 species